ensembl:misc_RNA
GUCUCCGGAGCCUUGCUAAUGCACGAUCCAUACCGAGAGAUAAAAGUCUAGACAAUAGACGGCUGUUUAUGACAACGAGUCUCUCCAAGUUUGGGGCCAGGCGAUAAAUCUCUGGAAAAUCUUCCUGUAACUCAUCUUCUGGCUAUAGUGA